rnacentral:rRNA from 2 species
UACGUAGGGUGCGAGCGUUAAUCGGAAUUACUGGGCGUAAAGCGUGCGCAGGCGGUUUGAUAAGACAGGCGUGAAAUCCCCGGGCUCAACCUGGGAAUGGCGCUUGUGACUGUCAGGCUAGAGUGCGUCAGAGGGGGGUAGAAUUCCACGUGUAGCAGUGAAAUGCGUAGAGAUGUGGAGGAAUACCGAUGGCGAAGGCAGCCCCCUGGGACGUGACUGACGCUCAUGCACGAAAGCGUGGGGAGCAAACAGG